GCUCCCAUGGCGUAGUGGUCACUGCGCUCGCCUUGCACGCGGGAGACCCGGGUUCGAUUCCUGGCGGGGUCA
rfam:Asian citrus Psyllid, Diaphorina citri - Florida Strain, whole genome shotgun sequence.